AUCAAUUACUUGGAUGAAGAGAAUCUGCAACAUGGGCCCAAUGCAACAGAAACUAAAAAUUCAAGAACCUAUUGUGAAAUGGUAAAGAAGAAACUGCUAGCACUACUGUGCAGACUACCAUCAAUCAACAUGAUCAACAAAAUCAAGUAAUCCUUCUGAAGAUGGAGUAGUACACAAGCACAAUUUUUUAGAAAGAAAAGUCAAUGGAAU